rnacentral:rRNA from 1 species
AGUGCUAAGAGAAUGGACUUUCAAAAAGAUGCUUUUUUAGAUUUAAAAAUUGAAGUUAUUUUUAUAUGUGAAGAAACAAUAAUAAAAAUUAGGGACAAGAAGACCCUAUGAAUUUUUAUAAAUUCUUUAAAAAAUUUUUUAAAGAAUUUAUUUAAUUGGGGCGAUUAAUAAAUAUAUUUAACUUUUUUUUUUUAAAAAAAAAAGGACCCUUUAUUAAGGAUUAAAGGAGGUAAAUACCCUAGGGAUAACACCG